GCUGGUGUAGCACAGUGGUAGUGCAGCGCAUUCGUAAUGCGCAGGUCGCAGGUUCAAAUCCCGUCACCAGCUCCA
rnacentral:tRNA from 1 species